AUGUACACGUCGGCCUCGCCCGGGGCGCGCUCGCCGGCGCUGAUCUCGCGCCAGAUGUCGUCGAACGACAUGGCGCCCGACAGCGACGCGAAGCUCUCCGGCUGGAAGAAGCCGACGAAGGCCCUGUCGUGCUCCACGGCGAUGGGCCGCGUCCGCGCCGCCAGCACCGUCUCCAGGUCGAAGUGCCGGUUGGGGAACUGCGCCAUGUGCGCCUCGUCGUCGCAGAGCCGCCUCCACUCGGACGAGCCGUCCCGGAUGAGCGCGUCCAGCUCCGCCCGGGUCGGCAUCAGCGGGUGGUUGGCGUGGAGCGCCGCCGCCAGCACGGCCACCAGCGCCGUGCACGCGCUCUCGCCGCCGGCGCUGUCGUCGCGCUGGUCGAUGGACGCGAAGAAGACCGGCGUCCGGAGCCUCGUCUCCGAGUCCCUGCUCGUGAACUCGCGCGUCUCCCAGACAUCAUCGUCUCCCAUGCAUUUGAUGGGCAUUUCCUGGGAGAGCGACUCCCGGCUCCGCCGCCGCCACGGCAGGAACCGGCGCUUGGACGUGGACCCGGGCUCCGGGCUGGCGCCGCCGCUGGUGCUGGUGCUGGCGCUGCUCAGGCUGACGGUGCUGCUGCUGCUGCUCAUGCCGCCGCCACUGCUGACGCUGCUGGUGUCCGAGUUGCGCUUGUUCCGGUACACCGCCACCCUGCCCUGCUUCUCGGCGAGGUCGAGCAGCUGCUUCAGGUCAAGAACCUCGUGGUACGUCGAGCCCCUGUGGAUCUCCCUCAUCGUCGGGACCGGCGUGGGGUUCGCCCUCGGCUUCUCCCUGAACGAGACGCUCCUCUCCACCUCCGCCGGCGUGCUCAGGUCCACCAGCUCCACGUUCACCUGUCGUUCGAUACAAGUCAGAAAUCAUAGCUCCAUUGACGUACAUAUACAAGCCAGAACACACGGGAGCACAGUAGGAUUGGGACUCCUACCCAAGAUCGGAACCAUGAACCAGCAUGACAAAUACUGA
rnacentral:rRNA from 1 species